rnacentral:lncRNA from 1 species
AUUUGCUGGGUGGGCAGAAGAGAGAGCCUGGGAGGAAAUAUCAGGGGCUGUGAACAAGAACCAGGGAGAAGAAACGUUCAGGGAGGAAACAGCAGUCACAAGUGACAGAGAUUGGUGAAGAAAGGCAGCUUGGAAUCUGUAUAAAUGAAAGAGAGAGAUAGAAUGGGUAAAAAUGAUUGAUGGAAGAAUUUUGACCUACUGGGUUUGAGCGCGAAAGCUCACCAGUUGACGGGAUGCUUGGGGAUUUGCAACCGCCUCAUCGCUGCCCCCUACCGGCGCAUAUUCAAAACGUCUCUGCGAAAAGCUGUUAUUACCUUCGGAGCCAACAGGGGCUGCUCGUUUACCCACAGACAGUCGGAAAAAAAUGGCCGCCGGAUCACAGAGAGCAAAAAGUACGUUCUCUUAAAGAAUUUCCAAGUUCUUCCCGCGGCCGUUCAGGAUGCUGCUUGCAGUUACCAACAUUAUUCCCCUGCACUGAGCUGACCUGAGCUUCCCUGCCUACCUCCUGUCACGGAUGUCACCUUCUUUCACCCCUGUCCUGUCAAGGUUUUUGCUUUAGAAUGCUAUAGACCAAAGACGGGCUAAUCAACAGUCUUACACACAAAUCCUUUCGUUCUACUUGGCUACAGGCAGGGCUAAUCUUCCGAAGAGGAAUCCCACUACUGCCUCCUUAUAAGGGAAAAACUCCUCUCAGAGGAACCCAGAACGCCCUGUGAUGACAGAGGUGAGGGGCCAGCGUGGCAGAAUGCACCACCCUGUCUCCUCGCUUGCUUCUCUCUCCGUCGGAUUGCCAAAAAGGGAACGGCACCUAGACGCCGAAAAGUAACUGAAGCAAAGGGAGUUUAAAGAACGCGCCCAGCCGCCUGGGUCUUGAACCCAGUGUUAAUGAGAGCAAAAACCUCUGCAUCCUCCACUGAGCUGUC